rnacentral:rRNA from 1 species
GACGAACGCUGGCGGCGUGCCUAAUACAUGCAAGUCGAGCGCAGGAAAUCGACGGAACCCUUCGGGGGGAAGUCGAUGGAAUGAGCGGCGGACGGGUGAGUAACACGUAAAGAACCUGCCCUCAGGUCUGGGAUAACCACGAGAAAUCGGGGCUAAUACCGGAUGGGUCAUCGGACCGCAUGGUCCGAGGAUGAAAGGCGCUUCGGCGUCGCUUGGGGAUGGCUUUGCGGUGCAUUAGCUAGUUGGUGGGGUAAUGGCCCACCAAGGCGACGAUGCAUAGCCGACCUGAGAGGGUGAUCGGCCACACUGGGACUGAGACACGGCCCAGACUCCUACGGGAGGCAGCAGUAGGGAAUCUUCCACAAUGGACGAAAGUCUGAUGGAGCAACGCCGCGUGAACGAUGAAGGCCUUCGGGUCGUAAAGUUCUGUUGUAAGGGAAGAACAACUGCCGCAGGCAAUGGCGGCACCUUGACGGUACCUUGCGAGAAAGCCACGGCUAACUACGUGCCAGCCGCCGCCGUAA